UACGGGGGGGGCAAGCGUUGUUCGGAAUUACUGGGCGUAAAGGGCUCGUAGGCGGCCAACUAAGUCGGACGUGAAAUCCCUCGGCUUAACCGGGGAACUGCGUCCGAUACUGGAUGGCUCGAGUUUGGGAGAGGGAUGCGGAAUUCCAGGUGUAGCGGUGAAAUGCGUAGAUAUCUGGAGGAACACCAAUGGCGAAGGCAGCUCGCUGGGACGUGACUGACGCUGAGACGCGAAAGCGUGGGGAGCAAACAGG
rnacentral:rRNA from 1 species